CAUGUGCUGUCGCAUGUGCUGUCACGUGGCCUGUCACAUGCUAUAACAUGGAUGAACCGAAGGACACCGUACUAGGAGAAAUUCGCCAGCCAGAAAAGGACAAACGCUGCACUCUUCUGCUCACACGAAGGCCCCGAGUGUCUGGCUCAUAAGAUUUAUCAGCUACUAUUCGCCUUCAAGUUUUGAUUCUACAGUCACUUCCAGGUUGCAGCCUCCAGCUAGUUUUAAAACGCUGUCGUCACCCACGAGAAGCCCGUCCCCAGCACACCGCUGCUCCUCAUCUCCCUGCCAGAGGUCCUGAUCUGAGUCGUCUCUGUGGAUUUACCUACCUAUGUACAAAAGUCUGGGAAUAACGCAAAUGAACAAAAGAACAAGGCUGCGAUUACAGCUGUCACAACUGAUGUGCUUUAAAUCCACCCAAAUCACCCAAGGGAACCCCCAAGGACCGCUGAGGCUCAGCCCAAGGGCAGGAAAACUGCGAACUGAGCAUGCAGCCUCCCCAAGCUGCUGCCUGGCCCUGCUCCAAGUGCGGGCAGCCAGGGCGCCUGCGGCCCGGCACUGGCGGUCUGAGCACCCAGCUCCCCGAGAGGGCGGGGCCGGCCAGACCCUCGCUUCCUGCCCUGAUGACUGAAGGGGCCGGGGGAGCCUGCAGUGCCCCUGUCCACGGCCAUCACCUCCUCCACCAGGGAGCCCUGAGGAACCCUAGAUGUCCUGGGCCCGGAAGUCAGCCACACUUGUGAACGAGUCAUCUCCCAGACCCGUGCAAGCAGGCAGGACAUCAGCCACCGGCCCCUCCAAAGCCCUGAGGCGGUGGGAUUCAGCGCCGGAAGCAGCUUUGUCAGUCAUCUGUAAAACACCGGCAAUAAACUACAACUCUUGGAGGCAGUCCACCUUCCAGGCAGGCUGCAGUCAUGCAAAGUCUCCUUGGGAAAUCAAAACGCUGGUGGGGAAGCACCCAGGGCAGCCUUGAGCACCCAUUAAAACCAGUCUCCCCCCGCCAGAAGACGAGCCUUAGGACAGGGGGAGUUCAAAAGCGACUCUGGUGGUGUUCAGAAAACAAACUGACCCCUCCCCAGGGGACACAGUGGAAGGCGUAAAAACACCGCGUGAUUCUUUCAAAUGGGAAGAGAUGCUACCUUGGAAACAGUCCCCUGAGUUUUCACAGGGCUGGGACUAGCACAAGGCUUAGCCCACUCCCUGCCUACAAUAACCCCGGCCAGCCCGAAUCACCUGCCGUGUCCGAACCUGUCCAGGGGAGAGGGGCACACCCGGGGAGGCCUGGCAACGAUGCUUCACCCACUGCCACCGGGUGGAGGGUUGAAACAAAUGUCGGUCCUGAGUGACCCCUUUGCAGGCCGGACUGAAGCCUUUCCUAUCUGUUCCUAAAAGGCUACAGAGUCAAGGUGCUUCUUAAGGAAAUCUCCCCCAGAUUUGGCCUAGCCCACUCUCUCGAGAGUGACGGUGGACUUCCUUUUACCUCCCAAAUAACUCAGGUGGUGGCAAAGAUCUCAGGAAGAAAACACCUCCACUCCAGCUGGUGGUCUCAGGCUCCUGGGAAGGUAGAGGGAGCCAGCCAGACCCCCAAAGCGAGUUCCGGCAAAACUUGCCAAGAGACAUCUGAGUCCUGGCUCCGACCGCUACCGAGAGUGCCCAUGAGGAUUCACAACGCGUCCAAAACUGGGCUAAGUUUGAGUCCAUUUGAGACGUUACGUGGGAGCUGUUUCUCUCUUCCGACAUGCCGGCAGACCCAGAGACCACUCUUACAGUAUCUCACCAAUCUGGGCCAAGUGCCACAGGCCGUCCAGAUGUGUGGGAACAGUCCUCCCAGCUCUGGCCCAGAGGGACCGCCUAGCGUCUCCCCCGGGGGCCGUGCUUGUGAAAACUUGGAGCGAGGGGACCCCCACUGGCCACUUAAAGCCGAAUCGGAAAGGCCCUUCUGUAGUGAUCCUUUGCACAUCCACUGCAGUAAAGGUGCAGGGGAUAAGCAAUAGGAUUCAUCUUUCUAAAAUAAAGCCAGCCCCCCCUGAACUGUCUGAAGAACAAGGCCACCCAAAAGGAGAAAGCUACUUCUGUGAGCUCUGGGAGAUGAGAUUUCUCUUCAAAGAGCGAGAUUCCAGUGCGGCUAUAGGAAAUGUGGAAAUCUGACCUGCUCUUCAUAUUGGGGCGAAGAGUGAAGUUUUUUUCUUCUGUCAAACAGGGAGCUCAGUGAUCAUUAACCCUUUGCUCAUUUCCUGACAGGUUUUCCUUCUUCAGCGAACCAGGGAGCCGCAGCACCCCAGGGCAGCUGGAGAGCACGUGAUCCUCAGCAGGUAGGGCCGACAGUGCCUCGAAGUUUGAAGGAGCUAUAGACAGAGAUCUCCACCCCUCAGCACCCCAUUAAGGGUUAUGGGGAUUUGUAUCUCUCCAAGAGAAAGGAAAUUAGGGUGUUGCAAAGCUGGCUGAGAAGUAGGGGUGACUUGUUAAUUACAAGAUGUGCAGAACAGUUCCCAAACUCUGCAUGUGGGCUUCUCACAAGAACUGGAGCAGAUUUUCCAUAGCAUGGUCUAGACUGACCCAGCCUGCGGCAUGGGAGCCCAGCACCGCCUCUCGGGACCCGGAUGUGGAAGUCCCAUGGGUUUCCUCCAGACUUGGGUGGCAAAAAGGACACAGACACGGAGAAGAGCUUGCUGUCAGGGCUUUCCCCGCGACAGCCCGCGCUGCGUCCCCAGGGUGCACUUUACCUUGCCUUUUCCUCUUGGACUCGGUCUUCUCCCUCACGCUUCACUUCUACUUUUUCAA